CUCCCUUCAAAGGUUGCUCAGUCGUUGGCAGCAUUUUAACCGAAAAGGAACCUUAGCAAGUCAUCGCAUAUGAGACUAUACAGUGCCAGGAUCACCCUCGCAAGCAGCAGUUCACGGUUCUGAUUCGGCCAAACUAGAAUUUUAGCCAGUAUUUUACUUUUAUUUUCAGAACUGAGAUCUGCAGCGUUUUCCUGAAGAUAUCUGAACCAGGCGUGGAUUUCUACAUCGCCAGAGUCACCACAGCAGGAAACUAACCAUGAAGUCAGCCUUUCAUCCCGGUGAAAGUGCGUUUUAUGGGACUGCUCUCCUGUGCUUAUGAUGUUGGCUGCGUGCUGAUGGCAGAUGGCUGGGCUGCUGAGGAUUGCUUGUUCAGAAGGAUUCAAAUAAUGCACUUAAAGAUGCAGUUGGUGUUUGUAAGAAGCUGGUUGGCCAUUUCUCUGCCAGCUGGAAGAAGAAGUCGGCUCUGACAGCAGCUCAGAAAGAAUUCAACCUUCCUGAACAUUCACUAAUUACGGAGUGCCAGACAAGGUGGGGAACCAAAGAGAAGAUGAUUGAAAGGAUUCUGGAGCAAAGUAAGGCCCUAAUUCAUGUGCUGUCAGCUGAUAGGAGGACGCGCCACCUAGUGCUCACCUGGCAAGACACAGAGGUUCUAGAGUCAAUUCACAAGACACUGCAUCCUCUCCAAGAAUUUACUGAUGCACUAUCAGGAGAAGAAUAUGUCAGCAUCUCAUAUCUGAAGCCAGUGCUCCAUCUUUUAAAGACAAAAACCCUGGCAGAGGAUCCAGUGGACACAGACCUGACAAAGUCAAUCAAAUCUAGAGUCAUUGGCUACCUCCAGGAUAAAUACAAUGAUCCGAUCACACAAGAACUGCUUGAUAUUGCAUCAUUUUUAGACCCCCGAUUCAAGACCAACUAUAUUGGCAAAGAAAAUAUCCCUGCUGUUAAAGCAAGAAUGAAGGCAAAGAUGGAAGAAGGAACAAGGAAGGAGAAGAGAUCACGUGUUAGAGACACAGAGUUUAACAGCCUCACCUGAAAAGCCAAAGAGGUCACUUGACAGCUACUUCAAGAGUACUGCCAUGUCUCCGGACUCAUCUGUUCAGCUUAAUGAUGCCAUUGAAACAGAGCUAAGCAGCUACUUGUUAACACACACCAUUGAUGGAGAAGAAAAUCCCCUGGGGUGGUGGAAACUUCACCAAGUGAACUUUCCAAGAUUGAGCAGGCAGGCCCGCAAAUAUCUUUGUGCACCAGCAACAAGUUCACCCUAAGAAAGGCUCUUUAGUGCAGGAGGCAACAUUGUGAACUGCCAGCGUUCAUGCCUUAAGCCACAUAAGGUGGACAUGCUCAUCUUUUUGGCAAGAAACCUGUGAUCACUGGUUUCUGUCUGUACAUGCAAACAUUUGAUGAUGCUACUUUUGCACUUAAUGUGAUUUACUGCUAAGUUUAUUUUGUAAAAAUGCAUCUUAAACUCAGAGUUUAACAUAUAGCUGUGGUAUUUUGCUUAUUUCAGCUUUUCUACUGAUGCAUGACCGUCCACUGCUGACUAGUCAGUUACUGAUGUUGCAGUUAAACCUUUAUGUGAAUUUCUGUAAUUUAUUUUGUUGUUCUUUAAAGGUGUUGUUUUAAAAAUAAAACUGACAACUGCAUUUAA